rnacentral:tRNA from 1 species
GCCUGGGUGGCUUAGCUGGUUAAGUGUCUGACUUCAGCUCAGGUCAUGAUCUCGUGGUUCAUGAGUUCGAGCCCCAUGUCGGGCU